ensembl:lncRNA
AACGUACCAAAGAGAACUACAACUCUGCUGUUGAUCGCCUCCAGAUUGACAAUACACCAGACGUCGAAGGAGUGAAGUUCAGACACUGAAUUUGAGCAGAAACCAUAAGGAUACGCAAAGGACCUGUGACUCUCAGGAAAUGCAUCAAAUGAGAGGGACAGAUGAAACAGUUUCAAGACAAUGGCAGGAAAAACAUGCUGAAGAUUGAAACAAACCUUGGCUGGAAAUCAAGGGCGUAGAUUUGGUUUUGGCAUUGGUGGGGACGGAUGAUUCAGCCACCGAACUCUGCCCUGUUUCUUUUUUUUCCUUUUUGUCUUUGCUUGUUGAUAAAAAAGGAGAAAUAUACUUGCCUAC